rnacentral:rRNA from 1 species
AACGAACGCUGGCGGCAGGCCUAACACAUGCAAGUCGAACGCUGUAGCAAUACAGAGUGGCAGACGGGUGAGUAACGCGUGGGAACAUGCCCUUCGGUUCGGAAUAACUCAGGGAAACUUGAGCUAAUACCGGAUACGCCCUUCGGGGGAAAGAUUUAUUGCCGAAAGAUCGGCCCGCGUCCGAUUAGCUAGUUGGUGUGGUAAUGGCGCACCAAGGCGACGAUCGGUAGCUGGUCUGGGAGGAUGAUCAGCCACACUGGGACUGAGACACGGCCCAGACUCCUACGGGAGGCAGCAGUGGGGAAUAUUGGACAAUGGGCGCAAGCCUGAUCCAGCCAUGCCGCGUGAGUGAUGAAGGCCCUAGGGUUGUAAAGCUCUUUCGCCAGGGACGAUAAUGACGGUACCUGGAUAAGAAGCCCCGGCUAACUUCGUGCCAGCCGCCGCCGUAA